rnacentral:piRNA from 1 species
UGGUGAUAUGUGUGAACAAACUUGCCUUGU